AGUGAACCUGGCCACCUAGUGGGCAUUCUGCGCAUGCGUCAGGGGGUGGUUUGCCCUCAGACUUGCCAAGGCAAAGUUUGAGGCGCCAUGUUUUCACGGGAAGACGGUGGAAGACGACAUGGACGGUCGUUUAACUAGAUAAUUCAUGGUGGAGCCAUAUGGACAUGAACAGCAAGUUAGUGCAGUCAAAGAGUCUAAGAAGUAGAGGAGAGCAGCAACUUGCACCAACUAGGCCGCCGGACUGUGAAGAAUAUUGAAGGACGUUGACUCAAGAAUUUGGUCUCAACAUCUUACACAAGGGUCACAGGUAUGCUGGAGCCUCUCCCAGCUGUCCUGGGGGAGAGGCGGGGUCCACCCAGGACUGGUGGCCAGCCAAUCCCAGGACACAUAGACCAACAGCCAUUCCCACCCACAUUCAUACCUACAUGGACAAUUUGGAGUGGCCAGUGAAGCUAGUAUGUUUUUGGUAUCGGGGGGGGGGGGCCACGCACGCACAGGGAGAACAUGCAAACUACAGACAGAGAUGCAGUGGUGAAUCGAACCCAGGUACCUCAACAUAUUUCACAGGUACGUCAACAUGAGAUGGAGCUGUUGAGAGGGUCAUCAGAAGUAAACAAUGAGGAGUUGACAUACUGCUGACAAUGUUUGAUUGUUUAUAUUUCAUAUUGUUGUUGCCAUUUGACUAACCAGCAUGCCUUGCAGGCAUUUGGAAAUGUUCUGUAUGCGUGUUUAAAGAUUUCACUGUUAUAUGUAAAAAUUACAAUUGGGAACGCCGCCUCGUGGCUCCAGGCCUGUCGGAUACACUUUUAAACUUUAUUGUGUCUUUCACUUGUCAUUAUUUGCAUAGUUAUGAAUGUAAAAAACAUCUACAAUGAUUUAUAAUGUUUUGUAUGGUAUUUCUAACCACUGCUGGGAAAUGCAGUAAAGGUGUUCUGGUCUGAAAGAAUGUUUUCAUUUCAUAUUUGUAGAUGUGUUCAAAACAAGAACGCCAAGCAGUGGAAUGACUUCCUACAAUGGCGUCUCUGGGGUAACACUAGUGGUGUGUCGGUCAUGAACGAACGGGUCAAAAGAACUCGUUCUUUUUUUUGGGAAGGGAAUGAACGAGUCCUGGCGAUAAACCUGAACCUCCCUGGUUGAUCUCUUGUGCUAGCGAGAAUUCAACAAAUAAUGAUGUUAACUUAGUCAAGAUAUAGCAUGGGUUCUAAACACGUUGUGGAAUGCCCUGCCUGUUAAUAUUAGAGCUGCUACCUCAGUAGAAAUGUUGAAGUCCCAGCUUCAGUCUUACUUCUACACUUUAGCAUUUAGCUAGAAAUAUUCCCUGUCGCGCCUUCUCUCUCU